rnacentral:rRNA from 1 species
CGUGUAGGCGGCUGAGCAAGUCAGAUUGUGAAAUCCCUGGGCUUAACCCAGGAAGUGCAUUUGAAACUGCUUAGCUUGAGUAAGGAAGAGGGAAGUGGAAUUCCUGGUGUAGAGGUGAAAUUCGUAGAUAUCAGGAGGAACACCGGUGGCGAAGGCGACUUCCUGGUCCUAUACUGACGCUGAGACGCGAGAGCGUGGGGAGCAAACA